CACGUAGGCGGGAACUUAAGUCAGGUGUGAAAGACCGGGGCUCAACUCCGGGGUUGCACUUGGAACUGGGUUUCUUGAGGGCAGGAGAGGAAAGCAGAAUUCCUGGUGUAGCGGUGAAAUGCGUAGAAAUCAGGAGGAAUACCAGUGGCGAAGGCGGCUUUCUGGACUGACCCUGACGCUGAGGUGCGAAAGCGUGGGUAGCAAACA
rnacentral:rRNA from 1 species